GACGAACCGUGCGAACGUUGUUCGGAUUCACUGGGCUUAAAGGGCGCGUAGGCGGGCUGGCAAGUCAGGGGUGAAAUCCUCCGGCUCAACCGGAGAACAGCCUUUGAUACUGCCGGUCUAGAGGAAGGUAGGGGCAUGUGGAACUUCCGGUGGAGCGGUGAAAUGCGUAGAUAUCGGAAGGAACGCCGGUGGCGAAAGCGACGUGCUGGACCUUUUCUGACGCUGAGGCGCGAAAGCCAGGGGAGCAAACGGG
rnacentral:rRNA from 1 species